UCAUCCAAACAGGACGCAUUGU
rnacentral:miRNA from 12 species